GACGAACGCUGGCGGCGUGCUUAACACAUGCAAGUCGAACGGAAAGGCCCUGCUUUUGUGGGGUGCUCGAGUGGCGAACGGGUGAGUAACACGUGAGUAACCUGCCCUUGACUUUGGGAUAACUUCAGGAAACUGGGGCUAUUACCGGAUAGGAGCUCCUGCUGCAUGGUGGGGGUUGGAAAGUUUCGGCGGUUGGGGCUGGACUCGCGGCUUAUCAGCUUGUUUGUGGGGUAGUGGCUUACCAAGGCUUUGACGGGUAGCCGGCCUGGGAGGGUGACCGGCCACAUUGGGACUGAGAUACGGCCCAGACUCCUACGGGAGGCAGCAGGGGGGAAUAUUGCACAAUGGGCGGAAGCCUGAUGCAGCAACGCCGCGUGCGGGAUGACGGCCUUCGGGUUGUAAACCGCUUUCGCCUGUGACGAAGCGUGAGUGACGGUAAUGGGUAAAGAAGCACCGGCUAACUACGUG
rnacentral:rRNA from 1 species